rnacentral:misc_RNA from 1 species
UCCGAGUUGACCCCGGCAGUCUCCUAUGAGUCCCCGCCAUCACGCGCUGGCAACAUAGAACGAGGGUUGCGCUCGUUGCGGGACUUAACCCAACAUCUCACGACACGAGCUGACGACAACCAUGCACCACCUGUGAACCGGCCGCAAGCGGGGCACCUGUUUCCAGGUAUUUCCAGUCCAUGUCAAGGGCUGGUAAGGUGGGGAUGACGUGCCCUUCCAUCACA